GGGCGUUUAGCUCAGUUGGCUAGAGCGCAUCCCUUACAAGGAUGAAGUCACUGGUUCGAGUCCAGUAACGCCCA
rnacentral:tRNA from 1 species